rnacentral:lncRNA from 1 species
GACUUAUUUCAUCUGGAAUAUUAUAUUCAAAAUUAGGCCUUAGAAAAUUCUAUAAAUACAAUCCCAUUUCAUUCAUUUGGGGGGGAACCAAUUCAUAUUACACCUUGAAGCUCUGAAACUCUGAAACUCCGAAGCUCUCAAGCAUCUAGGUUCCCGAAGAAUCAAGAAAGCCUUCUUCAUUCUUCGUCCAUCGUUCUUCCAAGAUCAAGCCCCAACGGCCCUUUGGAUCAACAAACAAUCACCAACUCAAGAUCAAACCCCGACGGCCCUUGAAGAAAGUGUUCUUCGUUCUUCGUUCAUCGUUCUUCCAAGAUCAAGCCCCGACGGCCCUUGGAUCAACAAUCAUCCACCAAUUCAAGAUCAAGCCCCGACGGCCCUUGAAGAAAGUGUUCUUUGUUCUUCGUUCAUCAUCCGUUCAUCCAAGAUCAAGCCCCAACGGCCCUUUGGAUCAACAAUCAUCCAUCUUCAAGAUCAAGCCCAAAAGCCCUUAAAGAUCCGUUCAUCACUGUUCUUCAAGAUCAAGCCCAAAAGCCCUUGAAGACCCGUUCAUCACCUUUAUUCAAGAUCAAGCCUUAACGGCCCUUGAAGAAACACUCAUCCUUAACAUCAAGCCCCAACGGCUUCUUGAAGAUCCGCUCAAAUCCAUCUUCAAAGAUCAAACCCACGGCCCGUUGAAGAAACUUCCAACAGUUCAUCCAAAAUCAAGCCUCGACGGCCCUUGGAUCAACGAAACAUCCAUAAAUCAACACCUUACGGAGAUCGAAUCAGAGGAUCAAAAUAGAGAGAGAUUGUAACCCAAAAUCAUCAUAUACAAAUAUUUGUUUGUGCACGUUGUUCUUGUCUCUUUCGUUUCAGGAAUUUUCCGUGUUCACAAACGCUACCUCCUUUGUGCACCCCAAAGUCAUUGGUCUCCAUCACAUGUUUAGUUGAUCCAAACUUUUCUACUAGUUGGAGAAGAGUCCCUGUUUUAUCAAAAACAACUGUUCUCACCUGCAGGGAUCAAACACGUCCAGCAUGACAAUAUGUCAAUAAUGUAACCAUCAACCUUGUUAUAAUAAUAACGUCAUUUAGCAUUGUAAGUUAUAACCUUAUCAUAAUCAUAUUACACCGUUAAAGUAGGAUAUUAUACUUAGAUAUAUUUCCAUUGCACUACCAACAUUCAAAUUAAAUGGUACGACUACCUUUUUUCUACUAAAAAGUACCAUAUUUUCAUUAUGUACUCUAAAAUAAUUGGUGCUCAUAUGCAUUAGAGAGGGGAUGAUAUUUAUAGUAUUUACUUUGAGAUAUUUUCAUCUUUUAACACCCAAUGAGGAACUUCAUGCUAGUGUCAUUGCAUUUAUACGAGAGUCAUACAUGCAUGUACGAAUGAGAUUAUGGUUGGUGCAUCUUUUGGAUGAAAGAGUAAAUAUAGUACCGACAAAAUGACCAUUAAAAAAAUAUCUUCAGUAAUUGCCGGAGAAAAAGUUGACCUGUUUAUAUAGUUUGAACACGCUUUACAUUUUCAAUCUCCAGCCGUACAACACUUCACCUAUCAUGCAAUUUGACUUGUCCAUGCAGGCCAUGAAAGAUCAAUGUUGAAGUCUUCGUGGGAACUCAAAUCACGGGUUGAAAUAUGCCUGAGACAUUAUAUAUUGAUUGGCAUCCCAUAAAUCCCAGUGUCUUUUGCUACGUAGAAAAGCUAAAGCAUUAACCAGCCAGUUAUGUUGAAUAAAAACAUGUAUUAUUCUAACAUGAUGUCACAUGUCUACUAACAAACAAGUUUCUAAGAACCAAAACUUGAAUUGCCAGAAGUGGCAAUGUUUUAUGCCUUAGCGUUAUGCCUCUUAGCAACUAGAGUUCUUGCCACUAAGGAGGUUGUGGUGGAGAUUUAGACUAUCAAAUCAUUUAAGAUUGUAGGCAAUAUUAAUGUCGUUCAUAAUUUAUCAAUACACAUAAGUUACAAUUGUUACCAACAAGGUUUUUAUGUCAUCAAUACACGCGUAUAGAAAAUAUGUUCGAUAUUUACAUUAUGUACGAUAUCCUAUAGAGGGAGAAAGGGUGUGUUUGAUAAUGCAUGUCAAACUUAAGUUGUGACCUAUCAGAUCUCGUUAGACUCGUCUAUGCUGUAUAUAUUUCUAAAUUUCCUUUUUUCUUUUUUGGUUCUCAUUGCUUCUCUUGUCUCACUGACUAAUUCAAAACAUGCAUAGCAACAAGGGUUGGCCUUGAGAUUUUGGGGGCCCUGUGCGAGGCU